AUGACAUGGAAACAUACCAUCACCUCACAAACCUUAACUUACAUGAUCAGUUAUGAUGCCCUACGAUGUGCAAAAGUUAUAUUGGAGGGCAAGGCACCAAGGCUCAAUGGACACCAUGCCAAUCCCAACUGCAUUAACCCAUAUGGAUACUUCCCGCUCCAUGAAGCUGCCGAAAGGUUUUCUGUUGACAUGAUCAAGUUACUCUUUCGUCAUGGUGCAUCAGCCAGUGUACGCACAGUUGGGGAUAACAUCAUUGAGAACCUACUCCCACUCCAUGUUGCGGUCGAAAAUACUUGCCUGCAUAAGUAUUUGGAGGAUAAUUUAUUUCCAUACCAGAACCAUUGGGAUUAUAUCUACAAGAUUAUCCAUCUGCUAUGCAUGCCUGAAAUGAAAAUUUUUUGGAUACGGUUAGACUGCUAG
rnacentral:rRNA from 1 species